rnacentral:lncRNA from 1 species
CACCUCUUUAAUCUUGGUUGUCCAACCUAUAAUGUGACUGACUUCCAGCCUUUUUAGGACAUUGCCAGAGUCAGGGAGCUUGUUUUCUUAACAAACAUGCCAGAAAACUAUAAAGAAAAAAUAACUUUUUGGAGGGGGUGGGAGAUAACUUUAAUACAUUAAGCAAAUUAAAUCAAAGGACAAAAAUAUAACAGUAGACACAAGACAAUUUUGAAUCAUUAACAAAAUGUGAGGUAGACUAGUGAAAUUCACCAAAUUUUGGUUAAGAACAUUUUACAGUAAUAACACGGGUGCCCCAUUUUCUAAAAAUCACAAAAAGCAAUUGCAUAAAUUACAGCCAAAAAAAAUUAUAACAAUUGUCUUCUAGUUUUUCGUUUACAUUCAGUAUUAACCUGUGUGAACUGUCAUACAUGCUGAGGUUCAGCAGGUCUACAGGUGAGUUACUGUGUGGGCCUAGCGAAUCCAUUCAUCCCACAUCAGUGUCCUAAGGGAUUGCAAAGCUUAAAGCUGAACACACUAGGAUAUAUAUAUAUAUACACACAAAUCAUGGUGUCCUGUGCUUGUGCAAUUUUAUCCUUAAAGAAGGACCUAACAUACUCAAGAAUUAUACUGAUGAUAAGAUGAUUUUAAAAGAUCCAAACAUUAGUAAGAUAGGCUUUGAAAAGAAUAGGCAGAUCAAUUUCUCCAUUAUAGGGGUGAUGGUCUUUUGGCUUUAUUCUGGCAUAUCUCUUCCAGAGUUAAAUAGUAUUUAAGAGCUCAUAAUAAUAAUUUGAAUUUUCAGAGUGCAGCCCUAACUAAUGGAGUACCUGCAUCUGAUGUAACUACUUAAAAAAAAAGUUCUUUAAACUAUGAAGUCAUAAAGCCAGAAGAAACCCUGAGAGGCCAUCCACCCCAGGUACAAUUGUUUCAGAAUUCUUUCAAGUAUUUUAUUUGCCCUAUGUAAAUGUUAUUGGAAUAUUGCACAGACAGUGGGUUUCUUGGUAUUAUUUGCAUUAGGCCCUUUCAACAAAACAGGAACAAGUGAAAUACAUUCAUAUUUAAACCAAAUUGCUUCAAAACAUACCUCUUUACCAAAAAUUCUGCUGUACUAAAAUUAAGGAGUAUUUUUUAAAGCAUAUAUAAGGCAGGUCCUCUUUGAAGGACAAUUAAAAAUGGGGUUAAAAGGAAUUGUUCACUUCAAAAUACAGUUAAAGCAUUAUAAGUAGCUAUAUUAAAACCAAGAGAUCUGCAAACCAUUUUUAGUCUAAUACAUUCCAUUUUUUCACUAGCUUUGUAAACUCCUUGUUGUCAUAAGAUAAUAAAGCUGGUCAAUUAACACUAUUUGUUCUAAGUAAAUGCAGGCUUAGUAGGCCCCUCAGUAGUUUCAGGUCACAAACAAGAUUGAUUCAAGUAAAAAUGGCCAUUUUAAGUGGGGAUAAAGUAGUAAAUAUGGGCUAAUGAGAAAACUCUCAAGAGAUUGUUCAAUGAUGAGAACUGGAGUAAUUUAAGAGUAAACUUCUAAGACUUAGUUUUAUCUAGAACACUUUCUAAAAAUAAUGUUUUUGAUUAAAAUAUUUGAGAAAUCUGUAGAAACAUAUGCCUCCCAUUGCCGAUACUGGACAAACACCCCCUGCUGAUUUUAAUGAAUCAAAAAGACUCUUAAUGGAGUCUUCCUUACUCCUCACAAGAGUCACUGGUAAGAUUAAGUAAAAAAACAUUUCUCUUUCUAUGGCUCAAUUUCCCAAUUCGGCAAUUUCUGUGGCGUUGUCAGUGUAAGGUGGUAAUAUUUAGUGCAUCUUUUAAAGGAAGCUUUGCUUGAGUCCCUGAAAGGAAACAAACUAGUUUCACUCUGCAACAGAACCUCAGCCUGACAUUUAGGUUUGCUGGUGCCAACUGCUUAAUUCCAACCAAACGGUGGGUGCAGGUUACCUGCUGAAAGCUUCUUAACUGACUUAAGUUCUUGCAAAAGAUUAAUCACUGUUCCAUAGUCUCAUAGAUAAGAUAUUCUUAAAGACUGGAAACACAUUUAAAGAGUGGGUAAAGCAAAGGAAUUAGGCUAGGAGAAGAUGCAUAAAUGCACACAAUGCCUGCUCUGCAUUUACUGAUUUGUUUGUUCAGUUUAAAUAGUAAACUUCUAACUCCUGUGGAAAUUUUGCCAAAAGUUUCAAUACAUAGAAGAUUAUAAAUCUUAAACUAACACUGCACAGAGAAAGACAAAGCUACUUCUUUUUUUAAAUACAAAUAUCGUCUACAUUCUAUCAUUUCAAACCCCUGAGUAAUACUGUACCAAAGUACAGAUCUGAAGAGAAACUGAGGGUUCAGGCCUCAAACGUUAAUCUUCAAUUGAUUCCACACCAAUGGCAUGAGUCUCAUGUAACACAUUCAGGCUAGUUAAUCCUGACAGUCAGUUUCCCCCUAACAUAGUAAUAGAAAAAAAUAAUGCAAACUCCAUAUUCACUCUCCAAAGUAUAUCCUCCUCAGGAUCCCAUGGGCAGACCGUAUCUUAAGUAAUUGCAUAACUGCCUAGGAUAGAGUUUACCUGAAUUUAAGGGAAAAAGAAAAAUCCCAAAUUGUU